rnacentral:rRNA from 1 species
AGAGUUUGAUCCUGGCUCAGAUUGAACGCUGGCGGUAUGCUUUACACAUGCAAGUUGUACGAUAACAGAUUUUUUUUUUAAAAAAAAUGCUGAUAAGUAGCGUACGGGUGAGUAAUACGUAAGAAUCUACCUUUAAGAAAGGAAUAACUGUAAGAAAUUUCAGCUAAUGCCUUAUGAUCCUUAUAUUUUUUUUUGAAUAAGGGAAAGCAGGGGACUUUAGAGUCUUGCGCUUUUAGAUGAGCUUACGCCGGAUUAAUUUGUUGGUAAGGUAAAAGCUUACCAAGAUUAUGAUCCGUAGCUGAUUUGAGAGGAUGAUCAGCCACAUUGGGAUUGAGAUACGGCCCAGACUUCUAAGGAAGGCAGCAGUGGGGAAUAUUGGACAAUGAGCGAAAGCUUGAUCCAGCAAUACCGCGUGUGUGAUGAAGGCUUUAGUUGUAAAACACUUUCAAUGAUGAAGAAGUAAUUAGAUAUUAAUAAUAUUUGUUAUUGACAUUAUUCAUAUAAGAAGCACCGGCUAACUCUGUGCCAGCAGCCGCGGUAAUACAGGGGGUGCGAGCGUUAAUCGGAAUCACUGGGCGUAAAGCGUAUUUAGGUUGUUUAAUAAGUUAAAUGUGAAAGCUCUAAGCUCAACUUAGAAAUUGCAUUUAAUACUGUUAAACUAGAGUAUUGUAGGGGAAAGUGGAAUUUUCGGUGUAGCGGUGAAAUGCGUAGAUAUCGGAAGGAACACCAGUGGCGAAGGCGACUUUCUGGACAAAAACUGACACUGACGUACGAAAGCGUAGGUAGCAAACAGGAUUAGAUACCCUGGUAGUCUACGCUGUAAACGAUGAGAACUAACUGUUAGAAAUAUACAUAUUUUUAGUGGUGUAGUUAACACAUUAAGUUCUCCGCCUGGGAAGUACGACCGCAAGGUUAAAACUCAAAGGAAUUGACGGGGGCCCGCACAAGCGGUGGAGCAUGUGGUUUAAUUCGAUGCAACGCGAAAAACCUUACCUACUCUUGAUCUUUGGAACUAAAUAGAGAUAUUUG